UAUAAAAGAGCGCAGCAGCCGUCACAACAACAGAGGCUCACGUUGUUUCACACAACAACACUGCACUCGUAAAAGGCAGAAAGCGCCGGACCUGUGCUCAGAUAAACCAGCAGCUUAGCAGACGACACGGUUGCUCACUUCAGGAUAAACUUUCAUCCAAGAUGUUUCUGAAGACUCUUGUGCUCAUCUUUCUGGCACUUUUCUUCUGCGCAGGUGCUGAGGACAGAUAUAGACCCUGGAGGCCCAACUGUAAGGGGAUGAGCCCCACUGAUGCUUGUCCUCUGAGAUUUACUCUCCGUUGUGCGGCAGCGACGGCGUCACUUACCCCAACGAGUGCGCGCUGUGCAUCUACCGACUGACGCACAAUGUUGACAUCUGGAUUGUGAGAUAUGAGGAGUGCUGAAGAUGACUUCAUCACAACGUUUACUGAUGACGCCAUCCUGUUGCUUCCUGAUGUCAUCACCACACAUGAAUUCCUGCUGAAUGUAGCUUUUAGCAUGUAGCAUUCAAACAUGCACACUAGUGAAUGCAG